CAACUCUCUGUCUCUCUCUUUGCUCUCUUUCUCAUAGCGCAGCUGUUUCUCUCUCUAGCUUCGUUAUGUCUCUUUCUCCCCUAUUCGAUCUCUUGCGCUCUGUUUGGAAUCGAGAACCCCUCCCUUUAGCUAUGUCUUCUGAAUAGCUGCUUGCAACCUUGAAGCUCUAGUGGAUUGCCGACCUCGAAAAGAAAUGGAGACAAUUGUUAUUCUCGUGUGCUACAAUGGAAAAUGGGUCACCUCGAAGAAGAUGUGCAAAUACGAAGGGGGUGACUCAAAAGGCUUAAUAGUUCCACGGACCAUCAAAUUUGCUGAACUGUUGGACCGUGUGCAUCAGAUUGGUAAUACAAACAGCAAUGAAGACAAGGUUUGCUUAAAAUUCUCAGUUUUGGUGGCCUCGAAUGAGUGGAAGCACAUAAAGAUUGAGGACGAUGAUGAUGUCAAUUUUUUUAUGAAGUACAAUUCCGAGGUAACACCUUCAAAACUAGCUCCCUUACUCGUGAGUAUAGAAGAUAAAUGACUGACAAAUGAUGUAGUUCAUAGUAUGCAUAUCACGACAGAUAGUAGUCAGAUGAGUCAUUCUUCAGUUGCCAUUGUUGAAAGCAAUGAAGUAACUUGGAAUAAUACAAAUGUCACUGAUGUGGGAGGUGAAGUAGGGACAGAUUUUAUAGAUAUGAUUGAUUUUAGCGAGGUGGAGGAGAUGCAUGGUGGUGAUAAUGGUACUGAAAGAAAUGAAGUGUCAGUGUACUCUGCCCCUCCUAAUUUGGGCUGCUUGAAAACAGCUAUCUAGUUGCCAAUAAUGCGUUUAGGAGGAGAAUCUGAACCCACUCGUCAACAUUAUUGGAGUCAAAUGGGUGAACAAAAUCGGUACAAUGCAGUCGGUGUAAAUGAUGAAGAAGCAUAUUUGGACAGCGGGUUUUCACGAAGUGAUUGGAAUCCGAAAAUUACAGUUGGGCAAAUUUUCUCUAGUAAGAAAGCAUUGUUGACGGAGUUACGGUUGACGGCAUUAAGAGGCCACUUUGAAUUUAAGGUGCAAUUCUCUUGUAAAAACAAUAUUCCAUUGCGCAAUGUAUCUUAGACAAUAUGAUUUGUGUUGCUUUGAUAGGUCAUGUAAACUCUACUUUUAUUUGUGGUGGGUUUCGUGUUAUGUUGAAUGGGAAUUCUUUUAAAUUUGCAUAA